AAUCAACGCUGGCGGCGUGCUUAACACAUGCAAGUCGUGCGCGAAAGGGGCUUCGGCCCUGAGUAGAGCGGCAAACGGGUGAGUAACGCGUGGGUGACCUACCCUUGAGUGGGGGAUAACAGUCCGAAAGGAUUGCUAAUACCGCAUGACAUCCUGUUCUUGAACGGAUGGAGAUCAAAGCCGGGGAUCGCAAGACCUGGCGCUCGAGGAGGGGCUCGCGUUCGAUUAGCUAGUUGGUGGGGUAAUGGCUCACCAAGGCGACGAUCGAUAGCCGGCCUGAGAGGGCGGACGGCCACACUGGGACUGAGACACGGCCCAGACUCCUACGGGAGGCAGCAGUGGGGAAUUGUUCGCAAUGGGCGCAAGCCUGACGACGCAACGCCGCGUGGAGGAUGAAGAUCUUCGGGUCGUAAACUCCUGUCGACCGGGACGAAAUUUCCGGGAGCUAACAUCUCCCGGGAUUGACGGUACCGGUGGAGGAAGCCCCGGCUAACUCCGUGCCAGCAGCCG
rnacentral:rRNA from 1 species